UGUGAAGGCUUCCCAAAGCCCUAUAAAUAGAGGUCCCCACCUCUACUUUGUAACAACAACUAUGUACCCACUACCUAUAAUAGAACUUAUUGUUCUUAUCUAAGACCUUGGAGUAUAUAUUGUGCUCUAGGAGUUCUGGAUUGAAUUCUUGCUGCCAUAUCGGCCUACAUUCGCCUCUAGAGCGAUAUCUAGCGCAACAGGUUGAAGUUGUUCCUUCAAUACUUGUGAUAUACACAUUGUAGCAACAAGGUGAAGUUGCUCCUCCAUAACCUUUGUGCUGCUUCACAUACCGUGGGACAGGCCAAUGUGAGAAGUUGUUUGCUAGGUUGUACGAGAAAUCGGCAUGUACUUCCCCGAAGCACGACGACGACGGAAUUAUUUUUGGCCAAGCUCGUAAUCCGCCUGAGCCUCCACCACCAGUGCCCCAUGACACCGCAGUGACCGCGGACGGUCGUGCCGAGCCGGCACAGGCGCGCCUCCCAUCCGAUGCAGCCCCUGCAAAUCACACGCUGGCGGGCAGCGAAGCAUGGAUGCCCGGCGGCAGGGUCACCGCGACAAUGGAGCUCAGACCGGUGGAGAAAGAGGGAGCUCGGCUAGCGGGGUUGAGGCAGAUGAGGGAGCUCGGACCGGUGGCGCAAGAAGGAGCUCCGUCCAGCGGCGGCGGCUUGUUGUUGUGCAUCCAUCUGAUCUGAUGCGUGAGGGGAGGAAAGAGGGAUAAGGGAGGCUAUGGUGGCAGUUUGAAAGUAAUUCUGGAAAACAUCAGGGCCAAUCAUGGAAGGCGUGCAGGCGCGAAGCUGCAUCAGCGAUACGCCCGAUUCUGGGGUUCCUCUCAGCCUGGCUGAGAGGCCUUUUUCUGCAUCAGUCGGACCAGGCUGAGGAGCCCCUGCAGAAAACCAAACGGCCUAAAUUUUGCAGGCCUAAUGCGAGCCAGGUGCAAGCCACCCAACCAAACACGCCUACCAUAUUUAACUCCUAUACCUCCUAAUCCUCGCUCUGUUUCAUAUCCCCAUUCUUCUCCCGGUUGUUCUGUGCACCCGGCCACGCACCAGACAACUGCAAGGCGAGUGUCUUUUUUUUAGGGGACUGCAAGGCGAGUGUCAAUCAUCUUCAACAGAAGUAUCUCACCUGAAUUCACGAGUAUGUCGCCCCUGAUUUUAUUCUGUCAAAAAAAAAUGCCGCCCCUGAUUUUACACUCUUGGUGGCAAAUGAGUCCCGCCUCCCGGGCAAUCUUGCACGGUUGCACCUCGCUCUACCAAAUCGCCUGAAGCUCUGCACAUCAUCUAUGCCACAGCGAAGGCUCAGACGAAAGCGAAUGAUCCUGAGCCAUGGAUCAGAACCCAGGGUAGACGGCGCCGUCAAUCGAUCGUUCAAAUCAACCUCCCGCCCUACGUGCCAGGCCCACAGUAGCGCACUAUUCAUGACUAUAUAUAAUCUGUAUUCAGAUUUUCCACGAACCAGACCUGCCAUCUGACACUAGAUUUCCCCAAUCCCGAUACAACAAUCAACGAACAAGAUAUCAUGCGCACCUGAGCCUGGGCACCAAAAACGCCCUGUCCAAAAACUUUAAAAAAUUGUUAGAAACUAAAGAACCGACUAAAAACAGGUUGCUACAGUAUAAAUACAAUCGCUACACUGGAACGUAAAUUGCUCUAUGGUGUUCCACUGCGGCAUGCCCUGUGGAGUGUGGAGUGCCCUUGUGCAUCUCGGUGCUAUUGGGAAGGGAGCCCCUAUUCCAUGACAUACGCGGUGACGAGCGAGGCAACGCACACCCCUCGCUCGCCCAGGCGCGAAUUUGGUCCGGCCCAUGUUUUUUUCGAGAUUCCGAAACAAGUUCUGACCUUCAAAAUAUGUUCAUGAAUUCAAAAACAAUUCUU
rnacentral:lncRNA from 1 species